ensembl:lncRNA
GGGGCGGCGGGGGGGUGUGUGCCUGUCGACAUUUUUUGAUGUCUUCAGCGGGAGGAAGAGAAAACCUGGCGGGGAGGCGGCAGGGCGGGCUGGGGAGCGGAGGAGACGGCCGACGGACCAAUCAAUCAACAGCAAACAAUCAGUACGCAAUCCACAGGAAAACACGGCCGACACGACAGAACAAAGGGGACCGGAGGGGGUCCCGGAGGGGGUCCCGGAGGGGGUCCCGGAGGGGGUCCCGGCGGGGGUCCCGCGGCGCCAGGGCCAUCGACCACAGCCUUUUGUUGAGGAGCUCCGCUCCGGGGCGGCGCUCCGCUCCGGGUUUUAUUUUUUAACACUGUGUUCCAGUUUCUUGAUUUCUGUUGCACUGGUCGGCUUGGGAAUAACACAAUCAUAUGUUUCUAAUGUUUAUCCUUUGUGUUUGUUCAUGGGUCUCGUAUGAGCGCAAUUGUUUUAUCAAAACUGAGGCGGAUAAUGUGUAAAAAAAAAAGGAAAGAAUAAGAUGAGUUUGUGGGUUUAUGUAUCUAUAUUUACAGCAUAGGGUUGGAUGGGUGUACACGCAUAUGUGCGUGCGUGUGUGUGAGUGUGUGCGUGCAUGUGCGUGCAUGUGCGUGAGGGUGUGCGUGUGCGGGUGUGUGCAUGAGCAUGUCCCCCCGAGGGAGCGAGUCCACGAAACCCAAAUGAACGAUCAUAACCGGUGUUGAAUAGCUGACCAGUAACAGGGCAGUAACAGACCAGUAACAGGCCAGUCACAGACCAGUUACCGGCCAGUCACAGACCAGUAACCGGCCAGUCACAGACCAGUAACAGGCCAGUCACAGACCAGUAACAGGCCAGUCACAGACCAGUAACCGGCCAGUCACAGACCAGUAACAGGCCAGUCACAGACCAGUAACAGGGCAGUAACAGACCAGUAACAGGCCAGUCACAGACCAGUUACCGGCCAGCCACAGACCAGUAACCGGCCAGUCACAGACCAGUUACUGGCCAGUCCCAGACCAGUAACCGGCCAGUAACAGACUAGUAACAGGCCAGUCACAGACCAGUAACAGGGCAGUCACAGACCAGUAACAGGGCAGUCACAGACCAGUAACCGGCCAGUCACAGACCAGUAACCGGCCAGUCACAGACCAGUAACCGGCCAGUCACAGACCAGUAACCGGCCAGUCACAGACCAGUAACAGGCCAGUCACAGACCAGUAACAGGGCAGUAACAGACCAGUAACAGGCCAGUCACUAACCAGUAACCGGCCAAUAACAGACCAGUAACCGGCCAGUCACAGACCAGUUACCGGCCAGUCCCAGACCAGUAACCGGCCAAUAACAGACCAGUUACCGGCCAGUCAUAGACCAGUAACCGGCCAGUCACAGACCAGUAACCGGCCAGUCACAGACCAGUAACCGGCCAGUCACAGACCAGUAACCCGCCAGUCACAGACCAGUAACCGGCCAGUCACAGACCAGUUACUGGCCAGUCACAGACCAGUAACCGGCCAGUCACAGACCAGUAACCGGCCUCUAUUCUCGACUGAUCCCCAUUCAUUCAGAUUCAGAGUGAACGGUCGAUUGCAGAGUGGGUGGAUUAAGGUUCUCUCUCGUUUUAGUUGUCAUAUUUCUACUAUGUACUGGUCAAGCGUGUGACUGUAUACUGUUAACAAGAACCAAUAUCCAGGUUCCAGCCUUCAAGGGAAAUUUGACACAGAAUUGUCACCAUUGUUUUUGGGGAUGAUCUGAUUUUCUUCUGUUAAAAUGUUUCUCUGUUAGCACUAGCCAUUAGCUUUUGUUCUUUUUUAUCGUCAGAUAGCUCAGUGGUUGAUUGUCUGGUCGACGUGGUUCUACAUCUUGAGCCAAUGCUUUUUACUUUUAUUAUGUGGAGUCUUUUUUUCCUGAAGUUCAAACUAAUCGAAAUGUCAUUGGUUCAGAAUGAGUUUUCAUCGUCAUGUAAGAAACAACAGGGCCUUUAUUUUGAAAAGCAACACAAUCAGAACUCUGACAGUGGCCAUUUUGCAUCCGGCGCCCCUCUGUCUGCGGUGGAGCGCUGGGGGGAACUACUAACCGCCACGCCCGUAUCUGGGGCUUCAUAUCUGUCUGGUUGAUCAACCGUUUUCAAUGAGAGUUUUCACAAGAAUGAUUUAACUGACACGGACUGCACCGAGCCGAGCCGCCAACGCCACCGGAUCCAUCGCCACCGCCGCCAGAAUGUAAUCUGAUGAGUGGGUGGAGCCUCCUCUGGUUCCCCCGACUAACGUCUAAUCCUUCUUUCAGUGACUGCAUGUUAGAGCUGCAGUUAAAGUUCGGCCUCGUUUGUUUAUGCAGGGACUUUAGCCCCUACCGCUAGUGUUAGCGUUAGCGAACCCCCUCCUCUCUCCCCUCCCCCCCUCCGUAGCAUGUCCCUGGAGGAGAGGUUCCUCCUGACACAUCACAUCGCUCAUCAAGUGAAGGGCUUACAACGAUCAGGCGGGCAGAACCGUGCGUACGUCCAGAUCCACGUUGGCUCAGCACACAGGGUACCUUACUGUUACACUGACAGGAACACAUGAAUCUCAUUGGCCGUCACCACCAGGAAGUGCUCCUCCUAUUGGUGGAUGAGGGUACCGCGGCGACCCGCCCCUUCGGCCACUAGCGGCUCCGACAGAUCGUCAUGGAAACUAAAGGGCUUACUUACUUUUUACUGCGGACUCUAGAGGUUCGUUUUGGGGGGAGGAGCUACAGGCGGGCAAUCAGGACUUUGAGUACUUACAGAUGUCGCCGAUGUUUCCCGCUCUCAUGUUGUUCUGUCGUCCUCUUCGUUCUCCAUCCGUCAGUCCUUGUCGACUCGCGCUGCGUUGAUCCCACUCCGACCCUUAGAGUCUCCCAGCUGGGCUGACUGAUGUUUGGACCGCCCAAACCGUGGCCCUGCCACCUCAGCCGCCUGCUGGGAGACGGAUAAUCGCAGACCCCCCAGAGGACCUCCUGGUUACUGAGGCAUUAGGACCAGUGAAGUUCACACCUGAACACCUGACACUAGCAUGAGGAGAAGGUUUAGGAAGGACGCCCUCUGAGGAGAGGGCUAGGGCUGUGUGUGUGUGUGUGUGUGUGUGUGUGUGUGUGUGUGUGUGUGUGUGUGUGUGUGUGUGUGUGUGUGUGUGUGUGUGUGUGUGUGUGUGUGUGUGUGUGUGUGUGUGUGUGUGUGUGUGUGUGUGUGUGUGUGUGUGUGUGUGUGUGUGGGGGGUGGGCACGUGCCUCAGCUUUGCAUUCAGCCUACAGGUGUGUCUCGGAGUAUGUGUGUGUGCAGGCCUAUGGAUGAAUUUAAUCUUUAACAGUAAUUCGCUUUUGCGAGAAGUUAUCAUUAGCGUGUGGGUGAGACCACUUGGCUCGCAGGUCUGCCCACCCCCGGAGAAGACACCAAUUAUUAGUGACCAUAUUAAUCACGCAGCCACGACAGGCUAGGCUAGCCAGGACAGCUACCUCCGCUGGCUUGGCCUAAAAUAAACGUGAUAGAUGGUUGGGUGAGGUUUGCCACUAAGCUAUUCAUGACCCACACAGGAGGGUGUGUGUGUGUGUGUGUGUGUGUGUGUGUGUGUGUGUGUGUGUGUGUGUGUGUGUGUGUGUGUGUGUGUGUGUGUGUGUGUGUGUGUGUGUGUGUGUGUGUGUGUGUGUGUGUGUGUGUGUGUGUGAGUGAGUGAGAGAGAGAGGGAGAGAGAGAG